CUCCAACUCCAGCGUGGACCAGUGAUUACCUCUGUCUGCCUGGCAAUACAGAGCACUAAUCUGUCUCAAAAUAGAGGCCCCCCCAACAGCACCAGGGUGGGGAGCAGUGGAUCACCAUAACCCUCUUGCAUCCAGGGAGAAAAUGAGUGCGUUCACUCCCACUGGAAUAGCCAGAGUGAUGGGGAUGAGAGGAAGGAAAACGAGGAGGAAGCAAAGGAAAAAAGCUUAAGCAACUGCUGAAUAAAGAGCAGGCCUGAAAGAAUUACACUGGUGGAGACUUUGAUGUACGAAUAGGUAGAAGUGCAGAAGAAGAGAACACAUAACUCAGCCCCAGAUUGCACCCUCAAGAAAUCAUGUUGAGAUUCCCAACAGGUAAACACCUUGACAAAUCCUUACUAACUUGAUGAAAGCAGUUCACAAAAAUAUCAUAAAAGCACAGAGUGGAUAACACAGGAGAUGGAUCAAUUUCUUUCCCUACACUUCCACGGUAACCUGUUUAGCUAGAGAUAGAAUAAUGUUCUAGUACAUGUAAGAAAAAUUAAAAUAUAUCUAAGAAUCUCAGGAAAAAAAUGUAGUUACAUGGAAAAUGUAAUGUAGAGAACACCACUUACAAUCACAGUGCAUUUUUUUUUUUCUUUAAAGUGCUGUGCAAACACAGCUAAAGGAAUAAUUGGUUUACUUUCACACAUCCCAUUGGAGCAGGUAAGCAUUAUUCCCAGGUGGGCAUGGGAGCUCAUCCUGAGGAGGGCUGACCAAAUUUCUUCCCAAGUCUACAAGUAUUUUAAAUGCCACAGUGUGACAAUAUCUUACACCCACUUCUAGGCCUUGUCUGUACCAGGUCAAAAUCCCCGAGGCCACACAACAAAAAGCACUGCCCUGUGUAAGUUCAUGCUGCCUAUCAAACAUAAUGUGAAAUUUAUAAUGGCAAAAUUUUGUAAUCAUAGACAUUACAGUAGGCUUUGCAUCAUCUGUUCUUAUCUCACUGCACAUUGGACUAGGUAAAAACUGUCCUCCAACAUAAAUACAACACAGACACUAAAUAAAAUCUUGAAGGCAAUAUAAACUCUUGAUAAGCUGUCCUAUUCUGCUGAUACCCAUGAAAAGCUUGCAUUUGAUCUGUUCCAUAAGUACAAUAUCUUGCAGUAGAUCACUCCAUGCCAUUAAUGACUAUUAAUGAAGACAGAACCAAAACAU